AAGGAAGUAAGAUCCCUGAAAGAUGAUCAGGUUGAUAGGUCUGAGGUGGAAGUGUGGCGACACAUGGAGCUGACAGAUACUAAUCGAUCGAGGACUUAACCAUAUUU
rnacentral:rRNA from 2 species